rnacentral:lncRNA from 1 species
AUUGGGUUUCAAAAUUGAAGGAAAGAAGACUUAUCUAUUAAUGAUAGAUUGCCUAUAAUGAUGGAUAUAUGAUGAAUAUUAAAGAUGGCUGAUGGUUGGUUUUGGAUCCUAAUAUCAAAUUGUCAAGAAAAUCAAAAGUGAAGUUAGGAUAAACUAGAUUGAAGAUUAUUGAUUCAAACCCUGAUUAAAAGGUUAGGAAUAAGACACUUAGUAGAAGUUUUCUUGAGAAUUUCAAACAUUAUUAUUUGAGGUAUAACUAUUGGAGUAUAGGAUUUAUUUUAGUAAGCAUGAAAGUAGUAUUAGUGUGAACAAGGAGUGAAAAGCAAGUAUUUUACAAUGUCAAUGGAAAUAAUGAAGAGAACUAUAAACAGAGAGAAAAGUUGCCAAAAUAUGAUAGCUAAGAGGAAUUUGGAGUCACCGUCCCUAGUGGUUCUUAUCAAUAUAGAACUAGUAAAGUUCAAAAU